UUAGCAUCGUAUGAUUUCCCCGUUGGUUGUGGAAGGUAAAGUUCCGAUCGCAAGGGCUAAUGCUAGUGAUAAAACUUCUAGAUGGAUCAUUGCUUUAGUGAAGCUGUACGAACUCGGAGGUAUUUUUUCUAUGCAAAUAUAUAUAUAUAUCCAGUGAAUUUGAAAACGUUGUGCAAUCAAACACGUGCCAAUUAAAUUGAAGUUCUGGUGGAUUGCAUUAUUCGGUUUGGUUUAAAGAAGACAAGAGGACUGGGAAUCUUACUACGUUCGACAUCGGGAAAGAGAAAAAGUACCAACUGACCCCUCCAAUAACGAAGUCGUCAAAGUCCAUCGAUUUCUUAGUAGAUCUGGGAAAGGCCUCGGAUUUCCCAGGAACCAGCAUCUACAUAAACCAACGAUAACUACAACCAAAUAAACUAGCAAAAGCCGUCCGAAGAUAUACUAGAGUGAAAUUUGAAGUUAUGUGGAGGCAUACUUAAACUGAUGUACUUCUUGGAGUAAGACGACAAGAAUGGUUUUCUUGCGAAUUCGGAGAAACUAAUAUGCCGCCCUCGUCACCCUUCUCGCUUACGAGUUAAGCGCGCGGCUAAAGCUUUCGCACGUAGUUUCUUCGUUGUGUGUGUAGUGAUUUCCAAACUGGGGAAAUAAAAACAUUAUUCUGCUGCGAUCCACACUGCCGUUUAACAGUCGUCGUAUCAAAAUGUACCCAAAGUAUCAAUUUUGAGUCUCUUUAUGAGAUUUUCCAUUUUCUUUGUAUUAUUAAAGAUUAAAUUCCGUACUAGCUAUUCAUCUUAGUUCUGUAUUGUAUAGACGUUAAGAGAAAAACAAACAAUGUAUAUAAUGACCCAUAAUUAAAAUCAGCGUAAAUGAAAGCCACAUAGUUUUAAGAUCAGCCGUUAAGUUGCAAAUCGUCGUCGAACUGAAUAUGUUCCCACGUCGCCCCUUGAGCUCAACGGACACGCCGGAUAUUUCGUAUAAAGUAUGAGUGAGUUACGAGCUUCCUUAAACGGAGAUCUCGAGUAUUUUCAAAGUAUAUAUAUAC